AACAUGUUUUUGUGGCCAUGUGCCCUUGCUGACCAAAACCAAAACUUAAAACUCUAUGCCUACCUAUGCCCGCAUUUGCUAAAUGCUAAAUCAUGGAGUUCCUGCUAGAUAUGCUGGAUAGUUUGUAUAUGUGUUCUGUGGAUAUACUACCAGGUUCUAGGUACCACGGCCGUGCUGUACACUCUACCUCACAGCCAGUGGUUCGAAGGACCUUGGUGGUUCAAUGACUUUGCGGGUCUUCGGUCUGCAGUCAGUGUAGGAGGUGAAGCGAUGGGUGGAAGCUGGUGUUGCGUUGAGGGCUGCACGAAUAGGUCAACGAAGACGAACGGUGUCUGUUACCACAGGUUUCCUUCCGAGAGCGCUCUUCGCAAGAAGUGGCUUUGUGCUGUGCGGCGCGUCGUCUGGUCCCCGGAUAAAAACGCUUGCGUGUGCUCUGACCACUUCACUCCGGACUGCUAUAGAGACAGCGUGUACUUGAUGGAAGCCUUUGGGCUCGCAAAAGCAAACCACGGCAGACGCCUGAAGGAAGACGCCGUGCCAACGCUGUUCGUGCACACGAAGCGCAGCCACCCACCAUUACCGCGAUGGAGAGCGGUGAAGCGACGACGAGCUCAGUGUAGCAAGUGUGGUCCUAGCUGCAAAGCCACGACUAGCUUGAGGGGCAGUGAUGAGCAAACAGCUUCCUGUGCGAGUGCCACAGCAGAGCACAAGUGUGACUUUGCUGGCAAGACACAUCACAUUGGUCACAGAACAAGGGCUGCACAAACUUGUCCCAAGAAUCCAUCUGUUGGUAUUCAGGCCAGUCCUGUGUUUAUAAAGGACAGCAGUGUCCAAACGGAUGCCACUGUGCUGUGAGAAACCACAACAGUAGCCAAGGCACUUCUGUCCUGCACCAAAACCAAAUUUUGAUGUCCCAGAUCUUGGUGCAAACAGGUGUGGGCUGUCCAAGACGCACAAUGAAUUUACGCAGUGGGCGCUCCUAGGCUGCAUCGGCAAUGUAAGCUCAAGGCGAGAAUGCUUCGGGCCCGUUGCCACCCAUGCUCACCGUCAUCCUGGCACAAUCGUGCGACCCUGGCACCUUUUCUGGAACGGAUAACACCGAGAUUGAAGGUUGACUUCAGCUCUACGAACGAAACACAAAUUGCUGCUCUCCACUACAACGAAAAUAACAGCAGAGCUAUACUGACCUAUGUGAAUGGGACUCAGCAAGUUUGCCAGCGCUGUUCUUGAGGGGAAGGAAGUGGACUGUGGCGCCAGUGAAACAAAGCAAGAUACUGGUGUGUGUCCAUCCUCAUCAGCAAUUUCUUGGAUUGCAUCGAGAGAAAUGGCCAUCCUUCUCUGCAGGUGAUAAAGAUUAUGCACAAUGACAUCGUGACACUCUUUCCACCAAGUAUGCCACAAAGCCAAUCGAACAAGAAGCACUGUUCACCUUCCAUGCCACAGCAUUGAAAGGUCAAGAAAGUGCAUCGAUGUGCAGCAAUGCCGUAAGGUUUGUAAAAAAAGAAUAAAAAACAGCCCCGUCA